rnacentral:rRNA from 1 species
AGGAUUGAACGCUUAGCGGGAGGCCUAAUACCAUUGCAAGUCGAACGGUUAGCAGGUAGCAAUACGCUUGACCGAAGUUGGCGCACGGGUGCGUAACGCGUACACAAUCUGCCUUAUACUGGGGCAUAGCCUUUGGAAACGAAGAAUAAUUCCCCAUAACAUAUAGAAGAGGCAUCUCUUUUAUAUUAAAGCUCAGGCGGUAUAAGAUGAGUGUGCGUCCGAUUAGGUAGUUGGUGAGGUAACGGCUCACCAAGCCAACGAUCGGUAGCUGGUCUGAGAGGAUGAUCAGCCACACGGGCACUGAGACACGGGCCCGACUCCUACGGGAGGCAGCAGUAGGGAAUAUUUGGACAAUGGGCGCAAGCCUGAUCCAGCCAUCCCGCGUGAAGGAUGAAGGUCCUCUGGAUUGUAAACUUCUUUCUUCGGGAAUAAAAACUGGGGUUCUCCCCAGCUUGAAGGUACCGAAGGAAUAAGCACCGGCUAACUCCGUG